CAGCCGCCGCGGUAAUACGGAGGGUGCGAGCGUUAAUCGGAAUAACUGGGCGUAAAGGGCACGCAGGCGGUUUCUUAAGUCUGAUGUGAAAGCCCCCGGCUCAACCGGGGAGGGUCAUUGGAAACUGGGAAACUUGAGUGCAGAAGAGGAGAGUGGAAUUCCACGUGUAGCGGUGAAAUGCGUAGAGAUGUGGAGGAACACCAGUGGCGAAGGCGACUCUCUGGUCUGUACCUGACGCUGAGGAGCGAAAGCGUGGGGAGCGAACAGGAUUAGAUACCCGCGUAGUCCCUGUCUCUUAUAC
rnacentral:rRNA from 1 species